UACUUUACUGAUCUCUUUCAUAUUUGGCAUGUAGGUACCUUGCAUGGACCUCUACCUUUUGAUGAGAUUUGAGGUCACUGGGGUCAAGGUCACCUAGGCUAAUAAUAAUAUACUUUUUCCAUCACACUUUUGUUACAGUUUCUCAUAGCAUCUUCAAUACUUUACCGAUCUCUUUCAUAUUUGGCAUGUAGGUACCUUGCAUGGACCUCUACCUUUUGAUGAGGUUUGAGGUCACUGGGGUCAAGGUCACACAGGCUAAUAAUAGAUUUUUCCUUCACACUUUUGUUACAGUUUCUCAUAGCACCUUCAAUACUUUACCGAUCUCUUUCAUGUUUGGCAUGUAGGUACCUUGCAUGGACCUCUACCUUUUGAUGAGGUUUGAGGUCACUGGGUUAUUAACACCUGGGUUAGGUGGUUAUUAACACAUAGAUUGACAAAGCGCAUCAUCGGGGAGCAUUCAUCAGUUUCACUGAUAUUCUUGUUAAUAUUGAAUUUAUGAUUAGCUGCAGUUGCUCCCCAUUAACUGCAAUAGUUACCGUAGUUCAGUUUACUUGUGUGUAACAUGUGCGUUUUUUUGUUAUUUGACCUUCGAUAAAUUUUAUGUCCACUUUCAUGGAAAGGGUCAUAUAGCAGUUGCACUGUACAUAUGUCUAUGUAAAUCAAUAUAAGAGUCGUUUGUAAAAAAACUGGGCAUAAUGCAUGUGCGUAAAUUGUCAUACUUUCCGCUUUUAUGGUAUUUAGUUUAACGGAAGUCUCUUCUACACAAAAAUCCAGUUAGGGCGGAAAGUGUCAUCCCUGAUUAGCCUGUGCAAACUGCACAGGCUAAUCUGGGAUGACACUUUAGGCACAUGCAUUAUGCCUAGUUUUCUCAGAACGCGACACAUAUGGUGGUGUGCCGCAUGUAACUACCGUCGCCUUACCCAAACGGUCAAAGUUACCCGUAGUGGUAAAUAUUCAAAUUUCGCCAUAAAAUAGUGUGAUACUUCCUGUCUCAGCCAUAACUUUUGAUAUAUAUUUAUUGAUUAUACAAUAGCUGAGCUCAAAUGCAAUUCAUAGUAAGGAAACCAUAAGGCAGACAAGAUGUCCACUUCGCCCUUGGGGCAUCAGGUAUGACUUGUAUCUAAGACAAGGGUAUCAAUCAUAAAUAAGAUAUUGGGACUUUCCUUUUUUAACCCAUUUAUGCCUAGUGUCUAGAAAAAAGGCCUUGGCAAACAGCGUAGACACAGAUGAGACAACAAGUCUCAUCAGGGUUUGCACUGUUUGCUUAAAGGAUUUUCUGUAAGACAUAUUCUAAAUAUAGAAAUAAAUAUACUAGACAUCCCUAAUUUUGGGAAUAAAUUGCUCCAAUUUAGAAGGAUUGGAGAGUCCACCUGGCAUAAAUGGGUUAAGCAAAAUUCCUUUGAGUCAUGAUUGGAUGAGAAGAUAAUUGUGAGUUGAUUUCUUAUUUUGAUUUAGCAAGAGUUGAAUAGCUAGUGGAGAGCACAAACUUCGUUUCUAUGCCCUACCCUUUCAAAAUAGGCGACACCCUUCCAUUUUUACCUAACAGUACUUCAAAAUUAUUAUGUCCCAUCUUUUUUUACCCUUUUUAAUGUGUCAGUGUGUGUUGGGUACUGGUAAAUAAAGACACACUGAACAUGUUUGUAUUCGCUAUCAUUAAUUGUAUAGGGUAAUAUACAGGUGGACUUGAUAUUGACAUCAACUUCUUUUUAAGAAUGUUGAAUGGGAGAUUGAAGCGGAACAAUCUGACAAUUUUUCCACAUAAGAGGUCCCACGGCCCAUUUUUAGGGCCCUGGAUGUUUAUAGUCUGCAUAUAUAUAUACUGUACCCAGUGACUUUAGGUUAUGUAUAUGUAAUUGAUGUUGUUUACAUCAUUGAGUUUGAAAAAAAAAAAUUGUUUUAAAGACAUUAUGCAUACUUGGAAGUAGAUCUAAUUUUAUAUGUAAUUACAUUUUUGACCAGUUUCCUUUGAAUGAACUAGAAUAUUUAUGCCAUGAAGGAGAAUAUUUUUGUACUCCCAUUCUUACAUGGUGUUGAUCUUUAAAAGAUUUAUGUAAGCACACGCAGCUGAUUUUGUUCCAUAUUGUAUAUGGUUGUUGAUAAUUGGUAUGUUUUUAUAUGACAUGCUUGUUGUGCACUUAUUUCUGAUUUAUCUCAGACAAACUGAUGACAUUUUGACAUUGUAAAUAUUUCCAUCUUGUUCAGUUAUGUAAACUUUGAAGGAUUUAAAUAUAAUGUUCAGACCGGGCUUCUUGGAUGAAAAAUUUUGGAUUUUUUUAGCUCCAAAUAUAGAAAAAUCUUGGUGGCGGGAAUGUUCUAUUUUUAUUGAAAUAAUUAUGUAUCAGAAGUUGUGGACAUUAACUUGUCUUGCUUUGAAUGUAUUAUUUGACCGUGUGUUGAAAAAUCUGUAAAUGUCAUCCCAUUCCUAUUUAAUUUUGGUAUUUUAUGGCAGGUAUUUUGUUUAUAUCAUUAAAGGAUUUUUUGUAAUAUUAAAAAAAUGUACCCAAAUAACAAAAGCAUCAUGUAAAAACAUCAUACCGGUAUUAUGUUCAAAAAUGUUUGCAGAUUUUAUUUGGCGAUGUCACAAUAUUGUCAUUCUAUAAUCUUUUUUUGUUUUCAAUAACAAAUUUUGUGAAAAAAAAUAAAACUUCAAGUUAGCUACUUACUUGUUCAAUAAAAAAUUAGAAUCUACAAAGGUGUGGACAUUUACUUGUCAUAUUUGGAAUGUAUUUCUUGUAUGAAAGUACAUGUAUUAUUUUUGUAAAAAAAGGUAUAAUGUUUGUAGAAAAAAUAUGAAAAAAUAUGUAAAAUUUAGCCCAUUCCACAUAUAUGUUGGUAAAUAUGGAAUUUAUUUCUUUUAUACAAUGAAUACAAUAUUGAAAUAUUAAAAAAUCAAGGGUAACCAAGGGCACCAUUGAAAUAGCACCAUAUUAUGUUAAAAAUAUGUGCUCAUAGAUUAUUAAGCGAUUAUAAAUAUUAUCCUUCAAUAAUCAUUUUUGUUGCUUGUUACGCAGUAUGUUUAAAAUUGUAAACCUUUAAAGUUAGAUAUCUAUUCGUUCAAUACAAAUUCACAAUAUACAAAGGUUUGAACAUUUACUUGUUUUUAGCUCACCUGAGCACAACGUGCUCAUGGUGAGCUUUUGUGAUCGCUUUUUGUCCGUCAUCCGUUGUGCAUUGUGCAGCGUCAACAUUUGCCGUGUUAACUCUCGAGAGGCCACAUUUAUUGUCCAAUCUUCAUGAAAUUUGGUCAGAACAUUGGUUUCAAUGAUAUCUUGGAUGAGUUCGAAAAUGGUUACGUUUGCUUGAAAAACAUGGCUGCCAAGGGGCGGGGCAUUUUUCCUUAUACGGCUAUAUAUGGCUGUAUUAAAAUAUUGUUAACACUCUAGAGGCCACAUUUAUUGUCUGAUCUUCAUAAAACUGGGUCAGAAGAUUCAUCCCAAUAAUAUCUUGGACGAGUUCGAAAUUUAUGCCGGUUGGUUGAAAAACAUGGCCGCCAGGGGGCAGGGCAUUUUUCCUUACAUGGCUAAAGUAAAACCUUGUUAACACUCUUGAGGCCACAUUUAUUUUCCCAUCUUCAUGAAACUUGCUCAGAACAUUUGUCCCACUGAUAUCUUGGAUGAGUUCAAAAAUGGUAACCUUUGCUUGAAAAACAUGGCUGCAAAGGGGCGGGGCAUUUUUCCUUAUAUGGCUAUUUAUGGCUAUAUUAAAAUGUUGUUAACACUCUAGAGGCCACAUUUAUUGUCCAAGCUUUAUGAAACUUGGUCAGAAGAUUCAUCCCAAUAAUAUCUUGGAUGAGUUCGAAAAUGAUGCUGGUUUGUUGAAAAACAUGGCCACCAGGGGGCGGGGCAUUUUUCCUUAUAUGGCUAUAGUAAAACCUUGUUAACACUCUAGAGGCCACAUUUAUUGUCCAAUCUUGGUGAAAUAUGGUCAGAAGAUUUGUCUUAAUGAUAUCUUAGAUGAGUUUGAAAAUGGUUACAUUUGCUUGAAAAACAUGGCUGCCAAGGGGCGGGACAUUUUUUCUUAUAUGGCUAUAUAAGGCUAUAGUAAAAUCUUGUUAACACUCUAGAGGCCACAUUUAUAGUCCUAUCUUCAUGAAACUUGGUCAGAAGAUUCAUCCCAAUAAUAUCUUGGACGAGUUCAAAAAUGAUUCCGAUUGGUUGAAAAACAUUGCCACCACGAGGGCGGGGCUAUUUUCCUUGUAUGGCUAUAGUAAAACCUUGUUAACACUCUAAAGGUCACAUUUAUUUUCCGAUCAUCAUGAAACUUAGUCAGAAGAUUUGUCCCAAUGAUAUCUUGGAUAAGUUCGAAAAUGGUUUUGGUUGCUUUAAAAACAUGGCCACCAGGGGCGGGGCAUUUUUCCUUAUAUGGAUAUAUAUGGCUAUAGUAAAACCUUGUUAACACUCUAGAGGCCACAUUUAUAGUCCAAUCUCUUGAAAUUUGGUCAGAAGAUUGGUCUCAAUGGUAUCUUGGAUGAGUUCGAAAAUAAUUAUGUUUGCUGGAAAAAAAUGGCUUCCAAGGGGCGGGGCAUUUUUCCUGAUAUGGCUAUAGUAAAAUCUUGUUAACACUCUUAGAGGCCACAUUUACUGUUCGAUCUUCAUGAAACUUGGUCAGAAGAUUCAUCCCGAUAAUAUUUUCGACGAGUUCAAAAAUGAUGCCGGUUGACUGAAAAACAUGGCUGGCAGGGGGCGGGGCAUUUUUCCUUAUACAAAACUGUAUGGCUAUAGUAAAACCUUGUUAACACUCUAGAGGCCACAUUUAUUAGCCGAUCUUCGUGAAACUUGGUCAGAAGAUUUGUCCCAAUAAUAUCUUGUUAUCUCAGGUGAGCGACUUUGGGCCUUUCAGGCCCUCUUGUUUAUGUUAUUCUUGUAUGACGUAAUAAUGUAUGUUGAAAAAAAUCUGUAAAUCUUAGCCUAUUCUACAUAUGUUUUGGUAAUUUAUGGAAGGUAUUUAUAUAAUUGAAAAAAAAACAAACAUUGUAAUAAUUAAAAAAUCAUUUGUAACCAAAUCACAAUAGCACCAUUGUCAUAGCACCACAUUAUGUAAAAAAUAUGUUACCAAACUUAAUUUAGCGAUGUUAUGGCAUCAAAAAUAUAUAUUUAUUGUGAAAACCAAUUCUGUUUAAACAAGUUUUCCUUUAUAGAAAGAUAUCUAUUUGUUUAAUAAAAAAUCUGAAUGCACAAA